rnacentral:rRNA from 1 species
CCUACGGGAGGCAGCAGUGGGGAAUUUUGGACAAUGGGGGCAACCCUGAUCCAGCCAUGCCGCGUGUGUGAAGAAGGCCUUCGGGUUGUAAAGCACUUUUGGCAGGAACGAAACGGUCUGUGCUAAUACCAUGGACUAAUGACGGUACCUGCAGAAUAAGCACCGGCUAACUACGUGCCAGCAGCCGCGGUAAUACGUAGGGUGCAAGCGUUAAUCGGAAUUACUGGGCGUAAAGCGUGCGCAGGCGGUUCUGUAAGACAGAUGUGAAAUCCCCGGGCUCAACCUGGGAACUGCAUUUGUGACUGCAAGACUAGAGUGUGUCAGAGGGGGGUAGAAUUCCACGUGUAGCAGUGAAAUGCGUAGAGAUGUGGAGGAAUACCGAUGGCGAAGGCAGCCCCCUGGGAUAACACUGACGCUCAUGCACGAAAGCGUGGGGAGCAAACAGGAUUAGAUACCCCUGUAGUC